rnacentral:rRNA from 1 species
AUUGAACGCUGGCGGCAUGCUUUACACAUGCAAGUCGAACGGUAACAGGCCUUCGGGUGCUGACGAGUGGCGAACGGGUGAGUAAUGCAUCGGAACGUGCCCAGAGGUGGGGGAUAACGCAGCGAAAGCUGUGCUAAUACCGCAUGUGAUCUGAGGAUGAAAGCGGGGGACCAGGCAGCAAUGUUUGGCCUCGCGCCUUUGGAGCGGCCGAUGUCAGAUUAGGUAGUUGGUGGGGUAAAGGCCUACCAAGCCGACGAUCUGUAGCUGGUCUGAGAGGACGACCAGCCACACUGGGACUGAGACACGGCCCAGACUCCUACGGGAGGCAGCAGUGGGGAAUUUUGGACAAUGGGCGCAAGCCUGAGCCAGCAAUGCCGCGUGCGGGAAGAAGGCCUUCGGGUUGUAAACCGCUUUUGUACGGAACGAAAAGGCUCUGGCUAAUACCUGGGGCUGAUGACGGUACCGUAAGAAUAAGCACCGGCUAACUACGU